UUUACUAUAAUAAAAUGCAACUAAUAACAACCACCUAAAAAUGUUGGCAUACAGUAAAAACAUUUGGAAUAUAAAACCAAAAAAAUGGUGGAAGUAACUGUUAAAGAGCUAAACCCAUAAAUUGGAACGAUUUACCGAUGAUUUGGUAAAUUUCAAUGGGAACUAGAGACAUGAAAAAUAAACUUGAAACACACACCUACAUGUUGGAAUUCAAUAAAACGUCUUGGUAUAUAGAACCAAAAAAUAGUGGGAAAAAAGGGGGAGAGUUAACCUAAAAGUUGGAACUACGCAACGAUAGUUUGAUAAAUUCCAAUGGGAAAUAGGGACUAAGAAUUGAAUUUGAAACUUUUACCUAAAAUGUUGGAAUUCAUUAAAAAAAACCUGUAAUAUAUAACUAAAAGGUACUGGAAAUAAGAGUUGAAGAACUUAACACAAAAGUUGGAAUGACUUAUUAAGAAUUUGAUAAAUUCUAAUGACAAGUUAGAAUCUAAAAAAUAAGCUUGAAACUUCUAUUCAAAAUAUUGGAAUUCAUUAAAAAGAGUAGGAAUAUAGAACCAAAAAGUGGUGGGAACAAGAGUUGAAGAACAUAACGCAAAAUUGGAAACGACUCACCCACAAUUUGAUAAAUUCCAACUAUAAGUAGGGAUCCAAAAAGUGAAAUUGAAACGUACACCCAAAAUUUUAAAAUUCAAUAAAAAGAGUAGAAAUAUAAAACAAAAAACUAGUAGGAAAAAGAGUUGAUUAAUUUAACCGAAAAGUACGAACAAAUUACCAGGAAUUUGAUAAAUUUCAACGGGAAGUAGGGAUAUGAGAAGUGAACUUGAAACAUCCACCAAAAAUAUUGAAAUUUAAUAAAAAGAGUAGGAAUAAAUAACCAAAAAGUGGUGGGAAUAUGAAUUGAAGAGCUUAAAUCAAAACUUGGAAUAACUUAGCAAGAAAUCGAUAUAUUUUAAAGAGAAGGAUCUAAAAUUGAACUUGAAAUAUCCAUCCAAAAUGUUGAAAUUCCAUAAAAAGAGUAGAAACAUAAAAGAAAAAACUGGUGGUAAUGACAGUUGAUAACUUUAACCUAAAAGUCAGAAUAACCUAACAAAGAAAUUGAUAAAUUUUAACAGGAAAUGAUGAUCUAAAAAGUGAACUUGAAACUCUCACCUAAAAUAUUAGAAUUCAAUAAAAGGAAUAGAAAUAUAGAAUCAAAAAGUAGUGGCAACAAGAGUUGAUGAACUCAACUCAAAAAUUGGAAUAAUUGAUUAAGAAUUUGAUAAAUUCCAAUGCGAAGUAGGGCUCUAAAAGUAAACUAGAAAUAUCUACCGAAAAUGUUGAAACUCUAUAAAAAUAGUUGGAAUCUAGGACUUAAAAGUGGUGGGAAAAUGAGUUGGAAUAACUUACCAUAAAUUAGAUAAAGUCUAAUGGAAUGUAGGAAUGUUGAAAGUAAACUUAAAAUAUCCACGUAAAAAGUUGAAAUUUAAUGAAAAAAGUGAAAAUAUAGAACUAAAAAUUGGUAGAAAAAUGAGUUGAAAUAACUUACCAAAAUUUAGAUAAAUCGUAACAAAAA
rnacentral:lncRNA from 1 species